GGGGUUGUGGCUCAGCGGUAGAGCACUCCUGUAGCAUGUGCGAGGCCCUGGGUUCGAUCUUCAGCACCACA
rnacentral:tRNA from 1 species